rnacentral:rRNA from 1 species
CCUACGGGCGGCAGCAGUCGAGAAUCAUUCACACUGGGGGAAACCCUGAUGGUGCGACGCCUCGUGGGGGAAUGAAGGUCUUCGGAUUGUAAACCCCUGUCAUGUGGGAGCAAAUUAAAAAGAUAGUACCACAAGAGGAAGAGAAGGCUAACUCUGUGCCAGCAGCCGCGGUAAUACAGAGGUCUCAAGCGUUGUUCGGAAUCACUGGGCGUAAAGCGUUCGUAGGCUGUUUCGUAAGGCGUGUGUGAAAGGCGCGGGCUCAACCCGCGGCAGGCACAUGAUACUGCGAGACUAGAGUAAUGGAGGGGGAACCGGAAUUCUCGGUGUAGCAGUG